AAGAUAAUUUUAAAACUCAUUGUGAAAGAUAUUUUAGCUUUAAAGAUGCAGUGUAUUCCUUUCAAUGGGGAGUGGAGAAUGAAGAGCUUGUAAUAUUUGUGCCAGGAGCAACUAUGAACAAGUCGGAUUACUGUCUAAAGUUGACGAGAGUUGAGAAUGUGCCACAUUAUGUCAUUGAACCUCAUAUUUGUGGAGUAGCGACAAAUGUGGUUAAUGUUUAUACACGGGCUAUAUCGGUUUUCUUUAUGCUGCUAAGUGUUGGUAUAUAUUUAUUCUCGUACUUGCCACGAAAUGAUUCGGUUCACAACAAAUGCUGCAGUCGUUAUAUGAUUUGUAAAACAAUCACAUUCACAUUG